rnacentral:rRNA from 1 species
ACGGAGGGGGCAAGCGUUGUUCGGAUUUACUGGGCGUAAAGGGCGCGUAGGCGGCGUGACAAGUCAUUUGUGAAAUCUCCGGGCUUAACUCGGAACUGCCAAGUGAUACUGUCGUGCUAGAGUGCAGAAGGGGCAAUCGGAAUUCUUGGUGUAGUGGUGAAAUGCGUAGAUAUCAAGAGGAACACCAGAGGCGAAGGCGGAUUGCUGGGCUGACACUGACGCUGAGGCGCGAAAGCUAGGGUAGCAAACGGGA